CUGGGGCGCUGGUCGGUGCGCGGGCUGGGACGCUAAGUCAUGAGGAAUUAAACUGGGAAACCUGGCGUGGGUCCAGGCGCCUUCCAGGAGGCAUCCGGCGCGGCCCGGACGUGCUUCUACCCAGAACCACCCCCUCCAGGCCGGGGUGCACUUAACGGGGCUAUACAAAGAGUCUGGUGGGUGACUGUGGGCCUCAUCCCUAUCCCGGGGUCUGAUAGGGAAGACUCUCGGGCCCCGCAGGGAAUAUCUGGCUAGUGCACCCUCGGCGGGAGCGCCACUCUCCCUCCUUGGGCGGCGCCCCCCUUCUCAUCCCGCCCAAUCCGUUUUGCAAAGUCGGCCAAAACAAAAACAAACUUGGAGCGCUGAUAGACACUGUUAUUGCCCAUCUGAACUCGUCAACUGAGAAGGAAUGAGAUGGUUUAUGCUGUGAAUAAAAUACAGUUGUGCUGUGAUGUAAAUCCCCUCAUCCUGGAGCAGCUGAGCAAGGUCUAAGGCAGGAAGAACCUUCAAGCAGGUCAUGGCUUGCAGGCUCAACUCUGCCUGGCAGUGGCAAGGGCCAGGGCCAGUGACUGAAGCAACAAACUGCCAGAUGACUGCAGCUCAAGCCAAUGCACAAAGCCACUGCAACAAGAGAGGAAAUUCUUCCAUUUCCAAGUGUGUCGAUUUCUCCCCAUCAAGGAAAACAGCUAAGGCAAUGUGUUGAUAUUUUCUUUGACCAAGUCAUCAGGAGUCACAUAGACAUACAGCACUCAAGAAGUGGCUGUAACUAAAGGCACAUCUCGUUCAUCUACAACCCUUGUAAUCCCAACCUUUGUCUGAUGCACAAACCCUUCCCUAGUUCUCCCCACCACCACCACUGCACCUCCAAGUGGGGACAACGAAUUGUUUCAUUUGCAUGUGGUUUUUCUCAUCAAAAGUAUCAUUAACAUGAGACAGCCCCAAACCAAGGAAACCAGAAGUGGGGUUUGUGCUUGGUCUUACUGAGAGCUUUCCCUACUUGACCAGACCCCAGCAUUGUUCUAGAUUUGUCUCUUGUGGGCUACAGGAAUGCAAACAUUUUGUAGUUUCCUCUUUUUUGUUUUCUUAAUGGCUUGAUGAGCCACACAUGUUUCUCUAAAUGCACUGAUUUUAAAUUCACACAA
rnacentral:lncRNA from 1 species